rnacentral:rRNA from 1 species
GACGAACGCUGGCGGCGUGCCUAAUACAUGCAAGUCGAACGAGAGCGACCGGUGCUUGUGCUGGUCACUCUAGUGGCGAACGGGUGAGUCACACGUGGGAAACCUGCUCAUCAGAGGGGGAUAUUAUCCGGAAACGGGUGCUAAACCCGCAUAGGUCUUCGAACCGCAUGGUUUGUAGAGGAAAAGAGGCGCAUGCUUCUGCAGAUGGAUGGACUCGCGGUGCUGUGGCUAGUUGGUGGGGUAACGGCUUACCAAGGGCGCGAUGCAUAGACGAUCGGAGGGGGUGAUCGGCGACAUGGGGAGGUGGACACGGCCCUAGGUCCUACGGGAGGCAGCAGUAGGGAAGCGUCGGCAAUGGACGCAAGUCUUACGGAGCGGCGGCGCGUGAGUGAAGAAGGUGUUCGGUGCGUAAAACUCUGUUGUUAGAGAAGAACAAGUGCUGGAGGAGCCGUUAGCGCAUUGACGGUAUCUAGCCAGAAAGCCACGGCUAACUACGUG